AGAUAACACAGAAAAAGAAAGUUAGAGACUAAUAUCUCAUAGAUGAACAGAGGCAAACAUCCUUACCAAAAUAUGAGCAAAAAAUUCCACCAAUACCAUAAAAGGAUUGGACACCAUAAUUAAGUGUGGGGUUUAUUCAAGAUAUGGAAACAUUCUUCAAUAGUUGCAUAUCAAUGUAUAGUCAAGGUUUAAAACCAUAUGAUUACCUCAAUAGUUGGUGAAAGUUUUUGAAAUAAUUCAACAAGUGUUUGUGAUAGAAGCUCUUCAAAAACUGAACAUAGAAAAAACGACCUCAACUUAACAAAGGCACACAGAUCAAAAGUACAACAACAUAUCACCUCACACCAUUCCAAAUGGCCAUCAUUUAAAGAAAACACAACAACAGGGGAAUGCCCUGUUGGUCCAGUGGCUAAGACACCAUGAUCCCUAUGCAGGGGUCCCAGGUUUGAUCCCUGGUCAUGGAAUUGAAUUCCACACAGAGCGAUUGAGGUUUGUGGCAACCAAAUAAAGAAGUAAUAAAUAUAUGUGUGUGCAUAUUAAUGCAUUUAAGUGGAAUCCAGAAAACAGAUGCUGAGUAAACCAUUUGGAGUGUAGGAAGAGAUGCAGUCAUGGAAAACAGACUUGUGGACACAGUGCAGGAAGGACAUACCAAGUAUGUAGUAGAUAGCUAUUGCUAUGCAGUGCUCUAGUGGAAUUGGUUUUGGAGUAGGAGAGGAGGCCCAAGUGGGAGAUCGGAGGACUGCUCAAAAGGGAGGCUCACCUGUAUUUACUAAUAACUGAUUUAUUUUGCUGGGCAGCAGACACUAACACAACAUUGUAAGGAAAGAAAAUCAGUCUUUGUCUAAUUUGUGCUAGUGACAAGUAAAGCAUCACUGCAUGUCAAUUAAAAUGUGUACCCAGGAUGGCUUUAGUAUGUAUAGGCAAAGAAAAAGCAAAAAAAAAAGGUCUCACGAAUUCCGCU
rnacentral:sRNA from 1 species